UUCUUCUUUGGCAAGUUUAUCUUUUUUCAGCCUCGUGCUAUGCUCAAAUUGUGGGUUGGGUUAUUUGCACCCGUCUCUCUCCCUCGUCCCCGUCGUUCUCCAUUACCGGUCGCUCUCCAUCCCGAUCUAGAUCCCACCGCGCCCAGCCCUCUCCCCUGCCCCUCCACGGCGAUCCACCUCUCCUUUCCCCGGCGAGCCGCCCCGCUCCAACCCUCUCCCACCCCCAUCGCGUUGCUCCCCAAUGGGCUCCCUCCACCUUGCACAAAUACCAGCAAGAUCCGCUGGGUCGAUGGGGCACGGGCGAUAUCGUCAUCAACUGCCGCCCCAUGGUGCCUCGUGCGUGGUGGGUCAUCUACUUCAUCGAGCACAACAUUCUAUUGUAAUGGCCGCUGCUCACAGAGGUCACUCGCCGGGGAUGGAUCCAUGGGGUAGCGCAUAGGCCUCUGAACCUUCCCCAUGGUGCCUUGCCAACGUGGUCCUCGCCUGCCACCUCCAUCGAGAUCUGCGAGGCAGCAGCCGGGGAGCGCAGGAUCCGCAACUCAGCAUCACCUAAACGCUACGCCGAGCCGCCCCUCGCCCCCCCCCCCCCCCCCCCCCCCCCCCCCCCCCCCCCCCCAUGGUCACGCGCUCCGGUUGGAUCCGGCAGUGGGUUCGCUCCCGCUGAUCCCUCAUGCCCGUCCUAGAAGACGACGGAUAAAGAAGGAAGGGGCUGGACGCUGAUGCCUCAUGAUUCUAGUAUGUAUGUAUGUAAUUCAUUCUUAUCCCCAAGUACUGCUAUUCAUAGUAAGAGAUGGAUGAAAAUAUAAACACAGGCUAACAUAGUAAAUGAAAACCUGGAUGUACUAUUAUUCUAAAGUUCUGUAAUACUUGUUGCCUAUUCUCUUUUAAAUCAAUCUUUCCCUUUUGUCAUUAAAGAAAAUGUUAGCUCAAUCUUUCACUAUUCAGUGGUAUGUUGCAGAAUAACAUUUGUGUUUCAAGUGCCAUAAUUCGUUUCAUUAUUUUGAAACUCACCAAAUUUCUUUUACUACAAGCUGCAAGAGGUUAGGGGAGAGGCAUGCGGUGGUGGUGCACAAGCACAAGCACAUGUUGCAGAUGAUAGUGUUUUUAGAGACAAAGGUGACUGCUGAUGGGACGUCUCACAGAUGAUGCUAUCAAUGGGUUAUGGUGAUGCACUUUUUUUUGGAAGUCGUAUGCUCUAAACUGGAGUGAUUCUAAAGAAGCAAGCAACUACUCCCUCCGUUCCUAAAUAAUUUUCUUUCUAGACAUUUCAAAUGGCUACCACAUACAGAUAUAUGUAGACAUAUUUUAAAGUGUAGAUUCACUCAUUUUGCUCUGUAUGUAGUCUUUUGUUUAAAUAUCUAGAAAGACAAAUAUUUAGGAACGGAGGGAGUAGAACAAUUUCCAUUCUGUAAUGCUAAAAGUUUACUUCUGGGCCAUAGUUUACUUCAGUUCAGUUGAUCUCUUUUGCCUCAUGCAGUACAUUACAAUGAAUUUUAAUUUAGUGAUACGGACCAUAUGUAGUGGCAUAGUUCUUCAUUUCAGUUGAGCUAAUAUAUUUUGCUUCCUUCACUA